AACGAACGCUGGCGGCAUGCCUAACACAUGCAAGUCGAACGAGACCUUCGGGUCUAGUGGCGCACGGGUGCGUAACGCGUGGGAACCUGCCCUUAGGUUCGGAAUAACUCCCCGAAAGGGGUGCUAAUACCGGAUAAUGUCUUCGGACCAAAGAUUUAUCGCCUUUGGAUGGGCCCGCGUUGGAUUAGCUAGUUGGUAGGGUAAAAGCCUACCAAGGCGACGAUCCAUAGCUGGUCUGAGAGGAUGAUCAGCCACACUGGGACUGAGACACGGCCCAGACUCCUACGGGAGGCAGCAGUGGGGAAUAUUGGACAAUGGGCGAAAGCCUGAGCCAGCAAUGCCGCGUGAGUGAUGAAGGACUUAGGGUUGUAAAGCUCUUUUACCCGGGAUGAUAAUGACAGUACCGGGAGAAUAAGCUCCGGCUAACUCCGUG
rnacentral:rRNA from 1 species